UGGACAGUGGUGGACAGGUCUAGUUGAAGCUGGACUCCACGCCACCAGAACAAACAGCUAAUGGAGACACGCUGAAACCGCACAAGUACACCAAGGCACCACAGAGAGGGAUAUUAAAGAAGAGUCCCCGUCCCAGCCCCCGGGCUAGUCCCAGGGCCAGUCCUAAAGGAAGUCCUCAGUCUUCACCUCGCUCUAGUCCACCAGGGUCUGCCAAGACAAGCCCCACACCCAGUCCACAGUUAGAAAAGAAAUUCAGCAUUGGGCUGGCAAAGAUUUUCAAAUCUCGAAGUAAAGAAAGUAUCGCGGACAGUACGGCUUCCGAAGAUGAUGAA